AUUGAACGCUGGCGGCAGGCCUAACACAUGCAAGUCGAACGGUAACAGGAAGAAGCUUGCUUCUUUGCUGACGAGUGGCGGACGGGUGAGUAAUGUCUGGGAAACUGCCUGAUGGAGGGGGAUAACUACUGGAAACGGUAGCUAAUACCGCAUAACGUCGCAAGACCAAAGAGGGGGACCUUCGGGCCUCUUGCCAUCGGAUGUGCCCAGAUGGGAUUAGCUAGUAGGUGGGGUAACGGCUCACCUAGGCGACGAUCCCUAGCUGGUCUGAGAGGAUGACCAGCCACACUGGAACUGAGACACGGUCCAGACUCCUACGGGAGGCAGCGGUGGGGAAUAUUGCACAAUGGGCGCAAGCCUGAUGCAGCCAUGCCGCGUGUAUGAAGAAGGCCUUCGGGUUGUAAAGUACUUUCAGCGGGGAGGAAGGGAGUAAAGUUAAUACCUUUGCUCAUUGACGUUACCCGCAGAAGAAGCACCGGCUAACUCCGU
rnacentral:rRNA from 1 species